CCAAUAGCGUAUAUUAAAGUUGUUGCAGUUAAAAAGCUCGUAGUUGAAUUUCGGGAUCAAAUUGUCGGUCGUGCCUCGGUACGUACUGGCGUUAUUGGUUCCUCCCCUCUGAAGAACCACGAUGUCAUUAAUUUGGUGUCGCGGGGAAUCAGGACUGUUACUUUGAAAAAAUUAGAGUGUUUAAAGCAGGCUCGCGCUUGAAUACAUUAGCAUGGAAUAAUGAAAUAGGACGUUUGAUUCUAUUUUGUUGGUUUCUAGGAUCGACGUAAUGAUUAAUAGGGAUAGUUGGGGGCAUUAGUAUUCAAUUGUCAGAGGUGAAAUUCUUGGAUUUAUUGAAGACUAACUACUGCGAAAGCAUUUGCCAAGGAUGUUUUCAUUAAUCAAGAACGAAAGUUAGGGGAUCGAAGACGAUCAGAUACCGUCGUAGUCUUAACCAUAAACUAUGCCGACUAGGGAUCGGAUGAUGUUAAUUUUUUAAUGACUCAUUCGGCGCCUUACG
rnacentral:rRNA from 1 species